ensembl:lncRNA
AUGAGCUGGCUUUACCUACUCCUUCGCCCAGUGCACUCUGAGGAUGGUGUUUUCACUCCUGAGCUGAUCUCCUGUGUUGUUACCUCUGUCAAAUCUGUCAUUUGCCAACUUCUUGUGAACCUGUGGCCACUGAAGUGUGAAUUCCCAGCCUCUCUCAUUUAUUCCUUUAUUCAGGAAACCAUUAUUGAUGCCUCAUUGGUGGCCAGUUCAAUGCUCACUAUCAGGAACAAAAGAAUGCUCCUUCUGAAAACCCAGCUGCAAAGCUGUGAAGAGACCCAACCAACUCUGUGGGGGCCCACCUGGAGGAGAAGUGAGACACCUGGCUAACAGUUCCAGCUGAGCUCCCAGUUGGCAACUAGCACCAACUUUCAGCCAUGUGGUUUGGGAGGAAACCCAAGCAACCACAUGGAGAGUCCUUUGUGGAGAGGUCCAAGUGGAGAAUGAAAGCCCCAUGACCCAACCCAUUCUGAGCUUCCAGCCCCCAGCCAGCACCAACUGCCAUGCACAUGAGUGAAACCAUUUUGGAACUUCCAACUGUACCAGUGCCUCAGCUGACACCAUGUGAACCAAAGCUGCCCAGUCAACUGCAAAACUGCAAGAAAGUGUUGUUUUAUAACACUAAGUUUUGGGGUAGGUGUUACACUGCAAUAGAUGACUGAAAUAACUGUCUACUAUGUGCCAGGCACUAUUUGAUGCCCUUCUGAUCCAUGAAGGUAAAAACAGAAAUGUAACCUGACAGGUGCAGAAGGCACCAGGGGAGGGCAGAGGAAGGCCAGCUGCAGGGAGAAGCAGGGAGCUGGUGAUUCUGGGCAGAUGAGCACAUGGAUGGGCCAAGAGCCAAGUCCCCUUGCCAGCUUCUGGCCAAUCAGCACUGCAACUUCCUCCUCCAUUUGUCUCACUGGAUGGGAUUAAUUUUUCACCUGACAAAGUCGAGAGUGGAAAAAGAGCUGGAGACAGUGGGGAGGAAGGUUGCCUGGGUCUGUCUCACCAGCACCAGUUCAUGUCUGGACUGCUAGACAAUGUUGUCCCAAAGGUUUCCGGGCCAUCUAUAUUAUUUGUAAUUUACUGAUUCUAGUUGCCUGUGGAUCAGGGGCUGCUGAGACUAGUGCUCAGGCCUUAGUGGACUCUGCAAGUUCCUGAGGGAUAGGCAAUCAGCGAGUGUUGCUCCUUUUCCUCGAUUUCUGGCCACACAGUGUCCUGGGACAGGUCUGUGAUUCCUAAUACCCACCGCAGUCCUAUCUCCUGGCCAUCAUCUAUACCAGUGGAAGACAUCCCCAUUUCCCCCUCCGCUUAAUUUUCAGUUGUGGAACUAAUCUGACCCACCCUCACUCAUGGGCCAGGCCGACUUUACCUAAACACAGGGUGCUGGCGUCAGCUUCACCUUUACCAACUCCUUGGAGGACUCCACUUUAUGUUCUAAACUAAGUUAGCAAUAUUUUUUCCUUUCUCCCCUUCCCACAUCAAGAUGAUCAUGGUAUUUAAAAAGUAUUUUAACAAAUAUUGGCCAGGUGCGGUGGCUCACAACUGUAAUCCCAGCACUUUGGGAGGCUGAGACGGGUGGAUCAUGAGGUCAGGAGAUCGAGACCAUCCUGGCUAACAUGGUGAAACCCCAUCUCUACUAAAAAUAAAAAAAAUUAGCCGGCAUGGUGGCA